rnacentral:rRNA from 1 species
CGCCUGUUUAACAAAAACAUGUCUUUUUGGUAAUAAUUUAAUGUCGGGCCUGCCCAAUGAUUAUUAAAUGGCCGCAGUAUUUUGACUGUGCAAAGGUAGCAUAAUAAUUAGUUUCUUAAUUAGGAACUGGAAUGAAAGGUUUGAUGAGGGACCAGCUGUCUCUUAAUAAAUUUGUUAGAAUUUUAUUUUUGAGUAAGAAAGCUUAAAUAUUCCAUGAAGACGAGAAGACCCUAUAGAGUUUAAUAAAUAUUUUGGUUUCAUUUUGUUUGAUUUGUGAUUUUGACUUAAAUAUCUAUUUUGUUGGGGUGAUAGUAAAAUUAGAGAAACUUUUACUUAUUUUUACGUUUAUUAACGGUUUAUUGAUCCUUAAUUAAGGAUUAUCAGACUAAAUUACCUUAGGGAUAACAGCGUUAUUUUUCCUUAGAGUUCUUAUUGACGGGGAAGUUUGCGACCUCGAUGUUGGAUUAA